UUACGGCCAUGUCACGUUGAAACACCGGUUCUUGUACGCUCACUGAAGUUAAGCAUUGUCGAGACUGGUCACUACUUAGAUGGGUGACCGGUUGGCAAUCCUAGGUGCUGUCAG